AUCCACCUUACUGAUUAGGAAAUGGAUAUGUUCUCUGUGUCUGUCAGUGUCUGAUUUGAUCUGCAAGUUCCCAAACACCACAUUGUUUGAGACAAAACUCCGUUCUGAUUGAUCUUGUUACCCAUAUGAGACUCUCUCUUCGUGAGGGCACGAUACAACUCUACAACUUCUGGAGCACGACGCACGGACCUUUUUCCAAGUGUUGUUUUUGAUGGAAGUGGUGGAGGCGGAGGCGGCUUUAUUGCUGUAGAUUGUUCUUUGACCAUUGGCUUCAGGCGAGCCACUUCUUGACGCAGCUCGUGAUUUUCUUUCUCCAGCUUAUCGUUCUUCAUUAGAGAAGCUUGAAGCUCCUUCACCAGACGCAUAAGAUCCGAAUCAUCCUCCCCAUUUGACUAAGUUAAAAGAUCCUCUGGCCCGCAAAUAAGUUAGAGUCACAAGAUGGUGUACUGAAGUAUUAAACAUGAGUUCACGAAAAAUAAACACACACGAAGAAAACAUGAAUCACCUCUAAAGGCAUUUAUUGUGGCUUUUUGAAUUUUUGAGAUUCUCUGCCUCUGAAGCAAAGGUAAAGUUGAAAAUGACAUGGUACCAUUUAGUAGUUUUCUCCUGCUUUUAGUGUCUUGCUUUCUUCAUUUAUUCAUCUCCACUCUACUAUUCAUAGAUAGUACUUGAAUCAACUAAAAUGUAUAUUCCAUUUCUUUAUUCAAAUCUACAGAAAUGUAUGUCCUGGAAGGGGGUAGCUAAAAAUAAACAGUGUCAGUGGAGUUUUGUUUGAUCAGUGACUCCACACACUAUUGUUUAUGAUGAUCUCUAUAAGUAACAUAAAAAAUGGUGGAAUAACAAAGUUUAUUUAGAUUAAAAUGAUAACAUCUAACCCAGGGUGAUGUAGCUAUUACACGAGAACUAGUUGCUCAAGUAGGUGACUGUCAAGAUCAUUUGUUUUUGUCUGGAAAAAGAAAAGUUAAUGGAGUUUUAGCUUUAAUAAUUCAUGAAAUUCUAGAAGUUUGUCAUAUCAAAAACGAGUUAUGCAGUCUUUAUAGACUUUUAGAUCUUUUGUAA